rnacentral:rRNA from 1 species
GAUGAACGCUGGCGGCGUGCCUAAUACAUGCAAGUCGAGCGAACAGACGAGGAGCUUGCUCCUCUGACGUUAGCGGCGGACGGGUGAGUAACACGUGGAUAACCUACCUAUAAGACUGGGAUAACUUCGGGAAACCGGAGCUAAUACCGGAUAAUAUAUUGAACCGCAUGGUUCAAUAGUGAAAGACGGCUUUGCUGUCACUUAUAGAUGGAUCCGCGCCGCAUUAGCUAGUUGGUAAGGUAACGGCUUACCAAGGCGACGAUGCGUAGCCGACCUGAGAGGGUGAUCGGCCACACUGGAACUGAGACACGGUCCAGACUCCUACGGGAGGCAGCAGUAGGGAAUCUUCCGCAAUGGGCGAAAGCCUGACGGAGCAACGCCGCGUGAGUGAUGAAGGUCUUCGGAUCGUAAAACUCUGUUAUUAGGGAAGAACAAAUGUGUAAGUAACUAUGCACGUCUUGACGGUACCUAAUCAGAAAGCCACGGCUAACUAUGUG